rnacentral:rRNA from 1 species
UAAUACGUAGGGUGCGAGCGUUAAUCGGAAUUACUGGGCGUAAAGCGUGCGCAGGCGGCUGUGCAAGACAGGUGUGAAAUCCCCGGGCUUAACCUGGGAACUGCACUUGUGACUGCAUGGCUGGAGUACGGCAGAGGGGGAUGGAAUUCCGCGUGUAGCAGUGAAAUGCGUAGAUAUGCGGAGGAACACCGAUGGCGAAGGCAAUCCCCUGGGCCUGUACUGACGCUCAUGCACGAAAGCGUGGGGAGCAAACAGGAUUAGAUACCCUGGUAGUCCACGCCCUAAACGAUGUCAACUGGUUGUUGGAAGGGUUUCCUUUCAGUAACGAAGCUAACGCGUGAAGUUGACCGCCUGGGGAGUACGGCCGCAAGGUUG